UACAGAGGUCUCAAGCGUUGUUCGGAUUCAUUGGGCGUAAAGGGUGCGUAGGUGGUGAGGUAAGUCGGAUGUGAAAGCUCGGAGCUCAACUCCGAAACGGCAUUGGAAACUACCUUGCUAGAGGGUUUGAGGGGGGACUGGAAUACUUGGUGUAGCAGUGAAAUGCGUAGAUAUCAAGUGGAACACCAGUGGCGAAGGCGAGUCCCUGGAAAACUCCUGACACUGAGGCACGAAAGCUAGGGGAGCAAACAGG
rnacentral:rRNA from 1 species